CCUACGGGUGGCAGCAGUGAGGAAUAUUGGACAAUGGACGAGAGUCUGAACCAGCCAAGUAGCGUGAAGGAUGACUGCCCUAUGGGUUGUAAACUUCUUUUAUAUGGGAAUAAAACGUUCCACGUGUGGGUUUUUGUAUGUACCAUAUGAAUAAGGAUCGGCUAACUCCGUGCCAGCAGCCGCGGUAAUACGGAGGAUCCGAGCGUUAUCCGGAUUUAUUGGGUUUAAAGGGAGCGUAGGUGGAUUGUUAAGUCAGUUGUGAAAGUUUGCGGCUCAACCGUAAAAUUGCAGUUGAAACUGGCAGUCUUGAGUACAGUAGAGGUAGGCGGAAUUCGUGGUGUAGCGGUGAAAUGCUUAGAUAUCACGAAGAACUCCGAUUGCGAAGGCAGCUCACUGGACUGCAACUGACACUGAGGCUCGAAAGUGUGGGUAUCAAACAGGAUUAGAUACCCCAGUAGUC
rnacentral:rRNA from 1 species